rnacentral:rRNA from 1 species
GGUUGAUCCUGCCAGUAGUCAUAUGCUUGUCUCAAAGAUUAAGCCAUGCAUGUCUAAGUAUAAGCAAUUAUACUGUGAAACUGCGAAUGGCUCAUUAAAUCAGUUAUAGUUUAUUUGAUAAUACCUUACUACUUGGAUAACCGUGGUAAUUCUAGAGCUAAUACAUGCAUCAAACCCCGACUUCUGGAAGGGGUGUAUUUAUUAGAUAAAAAACCAAUCAGGGCAACCUGUCUACUGGUGAAUCAUGAUAACUUUUCGAAUCGCAUGACUUUGUGUCGGCGAUGGUUCAUUCA